CAUUCAGCCGGUGUCAGAGCCUCGCUGCAGCCGCAGGGCCAGUCCCUGCGAGUGACAGCAGCGGCGGCGGCGGCUCUGCCCCGCUCUCUGCCCCGCCAGGUGCCGCUGGACCAGCCGCUAAAUGAGCCCGCGAUGGAGGGCGCGCAGCCGGGCCCCGGGGCAAACUCCCCGCAGAUCGACUCCGCCGAAGUUUUGCUCCACGGGGUGUUCGCCCUGCUGGACCCCGCUCCCAAGACGAACUACGCGCUGAGUCUCACCCGCGGCCGGGAGCUGCGCAUGCAGCGGGUCGGCUCCGCGCCGGCCGGCCGGAGCGCCGCGCUGAAGCUGGCGGACUGCAUCGGCUGCUCUGCCUUCGCCGGCCGGGAGCCGGAGCUGGAGCCGGCCGCCUACUUCUCCGUCUUCUGCUACCCCUUCCGCAAGGGCUGGUGGGACACCGCGCCCGCCAGGCAGCGCCUCGCCAGGACUUUCCGCGUGUGCGUAGCCCAGGAGCCGGGGGACAAUCUGAAGCUGGCGGAGACGUGGGCUGGGAAGAUCAGGGAGCUGGCUGCGCCCAGCAUCCCCCGGCAGGAAGUUCUGAAGGAUGCUGUGAUGAUCCUGGGACCAUGCGUCUCCCAACCAAUCAGUGCUCUCUGUGCCUGCUUGGACAACAUGAAGCCUACUUCCUGUGUGUGGGGUGUGUUGCUCUCUUCAUGUCCUGAAUACAGCAACAGCUCUCCUGUCAACAGUCGUCUCUGUCCCGCUUGCGUCCAUCUUGUCUCACUAAUGCCUAAUAGGGUCAGGUUGUUGCUCCUCAUCUCUGCUGCAACCUGCGCCGUAUUUCCUGACUCGUACAUGGUCCUCACGUUCCAUGUGCCUAUGGUAAUCCUCCUGGUUGCAAGAAGGGUAAUCGGCUUAGUGGCUUCCUCACGGCUUUUACCACCCAGCACCAUGCAUCUUCGAAUUGAAGACCCUUCUUUUUCCAGGGUAAAAGUCUCUGUUGUCUCUAUUGUCGGCGUUUCUGUAGCAGGUUGGUUUUUUAUGGGGUGGAGUUGCCAGCCCCACGCCCAACCCUUCUCCUUUAUCCUGACUUGGGACAGGCAGAUGGCCCCAAAGGACCUCUCUGGUGGACUAUCUGGAAAGUUCAGCAAGCCAGAAUGUCCCGUUAAAGACAAGCAGGGAAAGUCUAUAACAGGAAUAGAACAACAGAUGAACAGAUGGGCGGAGCACUUUGAGGAACUCCUGAACAGACCAGUACCACCAAAUCCACCAGAUAUCAACUCAGCUAACGAGGACCUCCCAAUUAAUUGCAAUAAACCAACCAGAGACGAGAUCAAAAAAGCCAUCACGAUGAUGAAGAAUAGGAUGGCGGCUGGACCUGAUGACAUCCCAGCAGAGGCCCUGAAAGCAGACCUGGAUGCUUCAGUGGAAAUGCUGUACCCCCUCUUUGAGAAGAUAUGGGAAGAAGAAGUGAUUCCGGUAGACUGGAAAGAGGGAUCUCUCAUCAAAAUCCCCAAGAAAGGAGACCUUAGCAACUGUGCCAAUUAUAGAGGAAUCACAUUCCUGUCGGUGCCAGGGAAGGUCUUCAACCGAGUCCUCUUAGAGAGAAUGAAGGAUGCCGUCGAUCCACAGCUACGAGAUGAACAGGCAGGUUUCCGGCAGAACAGAUCAUGCACGGACCAGAAAGCAAUGCUUCGCAUCAUAGUCGAGCAGUCUAUAGAGUGGAACUCCUCGUUGUACAUCAAUUUUAUUGACUAUGAGAAAGCGUUCGAUAGCGUGGAUCGAGAGACCCUUUGGAAGCUCCUUCGGCACUACGGCAUCCCAGCAAAGGUGGUCAACCUGAUCAAGAACUCAUAUGACGGUAUACACCGUAGAGUGAUCCAUGGAGGGCAGCUUACUAACAGCUUCCAGGUGCAAACUGGAGUCAGGCAAGGAUGCUUGUUGUCACCACUUCUCUUUCUUCUUGUCAUCGAUUGGAUUAUGAAGACAUCCACCUACGAGCGUAGGAACGGAAUCCAGUGGACGUUGUGGACCCAGCUUGAUGACCUGGACUUUGCUGACGACCUUGCUCUCCUUUCGCACGGUAAACAGCAGAUGCAAGAGAAGAUCAACGUAGUGGCAGCCACGUCAUCACACGUUGGCCUCAACAUUCACAAGGACAAGACCAAGAUCCUUAGGAUUAACUCCACUAGCAAUGACCCAGUCACACUGAAUGGAAGCCCCCUGGAAGAAGUGCAGUCCUUCACAUACCUAGGUAGCAUCAUCGACCAGCAGGGUGGCACAGACGCAGGCAUCAAAGUAAGGAUUGGUAAGGCAAAAGCAGCCUUCUUACAGCUCAAGAACAUCUGGAGCUCUAGAGAGCUGUCUUUGGCAAUAAAAAUUUGACUGUUCAACUCGAAUGUGAAAUUAGUCCUACUGUAUGGAGCUGAAACCUGGAGGACAACCAAAACAACCAUCAGGAAGAUCCAGACCUUCAUAAAUAGCUGCCUCAGAAGGAUUCUCCAGAUCCACUGGCCAGACACCAUCAGUAACAUCCACCUCUUGGAGAGGACCUGUCAACUCCCAGCAGAGGAAGAAAUCAGAAGGAGAAGGUGGGGUUGGAUAGGACAUACACUAUGCAAGCAGCCAACUAACAUCACCAGACAGGCACUGCGGUGGAACCCCCAAGGCAAGCGGAAAAGAGGCCGUCCAAGAAACACCUGGCGACGUGACCUUCAGGCUGAUAGCAAAAAAAUGGGCUAUACCUGGAACCAGUUAGAACGAAUGGCCCAGGAUAGAGGACUCUGGAGAUCUGUUGUUAGCGGCCCAUACCCCAAUUAGGGUGACGGGCAUGAGUGAGUGAGUUACUUUUACAUACAACAAUAGUUUAGUUAUAUGUUAUAGACUUAUAGAAAGAGACCUUCUAAAAACGUUAAAAUGUAUUACUGGCACGCGAAACCUUAAAUCAGAGUGAAUAAAUGAAGACUCGGCACAGCACUUCUGAAAGGCUGCCAACCCCUGCCCCAGACCCACCCAGCUGGGCCAGAAGUCUGUAAAUUGCACAUUAGUCUCAAACCUGGGCCACACUGAGAAAGCUUUACUGACGGAGCCAUGCUGGUAAAAGCCUUGUGAGGAUUCAGUUAUACCAGUAUAACUUAUACCAGCAAUGCUUCUGCCAGUGCCCUGAGCCAGCACAAGCUGGAUUGGUAUAAGCACUGUAAUACCAACAGAGCCACAUCCACCUCAGAGAGUUUUGCUGGUGUAGCUACGCUGGCAAAACUCUCCUGUGUGAACAAGGCCAUGCUGUAGAGAAGGCCCCAGAGUCAAAUCCUAGCCCCAGUGAGAUGCACGACAAAACUCCCUAAGGCUUCAGUGGGUCAGGAUUUCACACAUGGUGUCUAAACGAAAGGCACCUCGAACACAGCCCGUGUGCCGCUGUUGGGUGGGCAGACCGCCCCAGCUCUGGCUCUGACUGGUGGGCCUGCUGCCACGAAUCUGCCACAGGGGCUUUGGUUAUCAUGCUGCAAGUGUUUUGGACCAGGCCUGUUGUUCCCCUGGAUAUCACGAGGGUGCGUUGUAUGGGAAGCCUAUGCCUGGGAGCGUCACCAUCUGUCAAGCCACACGUGCAACUCUGUCCCAAACCGGAACGCAGUCAUGUCUCGCUAAGGAGACGUGGGGUGAUGUGGGGACUCUUGUCGCGGCCCUACCAUGUCCUGGUGCUGCUGAACCCCCAGAGCGGAACAGGGCAAGCGCUGCAGCUGUUCC